AAAACGGUGGCUUUCGCCACCACCAACCCAUGAUAUACUGUGUUU
rfam:Monoraphidium neglectum strain SAG 48.87 unplaced genomic scaffold scaffold00143, whole genome shotgun sequence.